rnacentral:rRNA from 1 species
GACGAACGCUGGCGGCGUGCCUAAUACAUGCAAGUUGAGCGCUGAAGGUUGGUACUUGUACCAACUGGAUGAGCAGCGAACGGGUGAGUAACGCGUGGGGAAUCUGCCUUUGAGCGGGGGACAACAUUUGGAAACGAAUGCUAAUACCGCAUAAAAACUUUAAACACAAGUUUUAAGUUUGAAAGAUGCAAUUGCACCACUCAAAGAUGAUCCCGCGUUGUAUUAGCUAGUUGGUGAGGUAAAGGCUCACCAAGGCGAUGAUACAUAGCCGACCUGAGAGGGUGAUCGGCCACAUUGGGACUGAGACACGGCCCAAACUCCUACGGGAGGCAGCAGUAGGGAAUCUUCGGCAAUGGACGAAAGUCUGACCGAGCAACGCCGCGUGAGUGAAGAAGGUUUUCGGAUCGUAAAACUCUGUUGGUAGAGAAGAACGUUGGUGAGAGUGGAAAGCUCAUCAGGUGACGGUAACUACCCAGAAAGGGACGGCUAACUACGUG